AGUUUUGCAACUUUUACUGGAUUCCUGGGAUCAUGGAUUUCUAGCUUUUGUUUAAAGAUCCUGUGAACAGAAGCCUGCCUAACUCCAUCUCUACUUCCAGAACCUACCAUACAAUUGACCUCAUUUCCGGUUCCAAACCCUUUGACACACCCAUUCGUCCCCAGCAGCUAUGAAAGCAGCAACUUUCCCCUCAUUAUAUAGAAUCCUGCCAUGUCAGUUGGGAAUAGUCUGCCUAAGGUGAGGUCAGUCCAUGGAGCACAGACC